GACGAACGCUGGCGGCGUGCUUAACACAUGCAAGUCGAACGGAAAGGCCUGUCCUUCCUUGUGUUGGACGGGUACUCGAGUGGCGAACGGGUGAGUAACACGUGAGUGAUCUGCCCCCAACUUGGGUAUAAGCCUGGGAAACUGGGUCUAAUUCCCGAUAGGACUGCAGGGUGGUGCCUGUGGUGGAAAACGAUUUCUAGUGGUUGGGGAUGAGCUCGCGGCCUAUCAGCUUGUUGGUGGGGUAAUGGCCUACCAAGGCGGCGACGGGUAGCCGGCCUGAGAGGGUGGACGGCCACAUUGGGACUGAGAUACGGCCCAGACUCCUACGGGAGGCAGCAGUGGGGAAUAUUGCACAAUGGGCGGAAGCCUGAUGCAGCGACGCCGCGUGGGGGAUGACGGCCUUCGGGUUGUAAACUCCUUUCGACCGCGAGGAAGCCGCCUGGUUGGAAGGGUGGUGACGGUAGUGGUAGAAGAAGCACCGGCUAACUACGUG
rnacentral:rRNA from 1 species